GAAAAGAAAAAGAAUGGAAUCUAUCCAGGAUGUGGCCAAGAGUUACAAAGGGCAAAAGAAACUGUGUACAACCCAGAGUGUGGUAACCAGCUCCAAAGAGGUCAAAUCGUCAAGAAGAUGUGUGAAAAGGCCAUGGAGCAAGGUUGAAGUCAGUGCUGUUAUGAAACACUUCAAAAUACAUAUCGCUAAAGGACACCUUGCAUCAAAGUUGGAGUGUGAGCAGUGCAAGCGCGCUGAGCACCCUGUUUUGACAGACAGAACUAUUCAAAACAUUCGCGAUUUUGUGAGGA